ensembl:lncRNA
UGUGUUUACGGUUUGCCUUCCCUAUCAGACUAUGAGCUGCCUGCGAACGAGAACUAUGUCUUACUCACUUUUGAAUUCUAGUUCCUCACUUGAUGAGUCCUAUGCUAUGGCUUGAAUGUGCCUCCCAAAGUUUGUGCAUUGGAGAUUUAAUUCCUAAAUUCCUAUGUUGACAAUAUUAGCAGAUAAUUAGGGUUAGAUGAGGUCAUGAGGGUGAGGUCCCCAUGCCAGGACUUGUGGCUUUAAAGGAAGAGGAAGAGACCUGAGCUUGCAAGAUCCCUCACUCUUGCCUUGUGAUACCCUCUGCCACACUGCGACACAGAAGGAAGACUCCCACCAGCUGUGGGCCUUCAGCCUUGGACUUCCCAACCACCAGAACUGUGAGAAAUUUCAUUUCUUCUUAAACUCCCCAGUCUAUUAUGUUACAGCAUCAUAAAACUGACAAGACCCCAUAAAUGUUUUGAUUCUCAAGGGCAUGUUCUGCUCAACACUUAGAGGGCUUCCCCCUUCAACUGAGUUCUCAGGCACCUCCUGGAGCUCAUCUGCACUGCCUCCAUCUUGAUCACCUGAAAUGUGUUAUGACACCUCUUCUCGUUUAGUUCUGUCUUCUCGAGGCUCCACUAACUCAAAUGUGUGCUGCAGAAUCUGCUGAAGGUUGGAGGUGACAAUGUACAUGUGUGUAUGAAGAAGACGGGGAUAAAUAUGAGAACAUAAGGCAGAGGAUCUGGAUUUAUUUCCCUAGAGGGCUUGUUGGGCAUCACCUGCCCUGUCCAACUUCGUCCACUCUAAGCCAGCUGGCCAGCACUGGGGGAUCAUCUGCCACAAUGGAACAGGCUCUGUCUGUCACUCUCUUCAACAGCAGAUGGCCACCCUGCACUCAUCCCCAUCAUACGCCAUCGCUAAGGGAGACACCAUGGUCCACCUACAAUUCACAAGCACUUUCCUCCAACUCAAGAGGAUGGAAAUCAUGGCUGUGUGCUGAAAUCACUCUGGGUCAGUAAUUUUUCAGCUAAAGGUGUCCUAUUGGGCAUUCUUACAAUAGAGAGAGGUGGAGCAAGAGGCCACUGGGAUUAUGUUAGAUUUUUAACAUGUGGGAUUAUGGUUAGAUUUUUAAUUGGAUUGGGCAUUUCAAUUAAGUUGGACAGAGCUUUUCAAGCAGGUCAAAGCACUGUCCCCUCAAGCAAGCACCUCUCUGUCUUGCCCAGCUUCCCUGAUUCGCAAGACAGUUCCUCACGAAAUGUUUUUCUUAUACUUUGUUUAUUUGAAGCUGGUAUGAUAGUCUGGGCAUGAGGCCCAGUUUAAUAUAAUUUUUACUGUUGCUACUGCACCCCCAAUUCUAUCAGGAUGGUUAUUAUUGUGUUGUCUAAGACACCUUACCACGGCAAUUACCACAGCCAGGUGUGCUCCCAUACUCACCCCACCCAUCCACCCACCCCACCCUUUCUACUUCAAACUUCAGAAAUGAAGCCAGUGUUCACUCUCAUGCCACCAAGACAGCAUGAAUUCCUGACUCGAUGGCAAAGCAAAGAUCAGCAGUUAUCUCAAUAAUGUGAUUGGGAGAGGUAAACAGUUCCUAUUACUGAAAUCCUGAAGUAUAGCAUGAGUUGAGAGAAUUUGGAAAAUUCCUCCAUUGCUUCUGAGUUCUAUAAACACAUAGGCUGCUUUCACAGCCUAUUUGCCUCCCUAAUUAUAUUUUACAUAAGCUGAUGCCUUUGGAUUAGUUUGUAGCAUAUAUCUACCAAAAGAUAUGUCACCUGGUAGGCUGGAGAGGAGAACUGACCAUAGAACACCAGUUAGAGUUGAAGAGUUGGUGACAAUAGUAUAGAUUCAGCAUUGACAAAAGAUGGGAACUUACAGCAUUUGGUCUGGAAAAAUGAUGUGUGUGUGCGUGUGCGUGUGUGUGUGUGUCUGUGUGUGUGGUCUAUUCCUGGUUUUACAGCAGAAUUGGUUUAGAGCAGAGUUGCUGAGGGUCAGACUCUUAGCAUUACUUUCAAACACAGGUGUUGAAGGCAAGGGAUUGCAAUAAUAACCCAUUUCAGGGUGUGGACAUUAGCCAACAGACAUGCACCUCUGGCUUCCUGCCAAGACCUAAGGUGAAACCCGGGCCUGGACUUGUCCACAAAGUUCAUGUCUUCAGCAGACAUAGUCUUGCUGCAGAAUUGGAUCCCAUGAACAAUGAGACUUACUGGAAAAAUAAAUAAAAUGCUUUAAAUGUUUAAAUGCAUUUCCAAGUAUUUAUCUUCCAAAUAUUUAGACUCUGAAUGGACUGGGCCAAGAGCCCAAGCUUCCUCUGCAUGCUGAGGUUCCAACUAUUUCCCCAAGAUCAGCAACUAUAUCACAAUUUAAAAGAUCAUCCUCUCGGAGCCAAAGCAAUCCCCAAGGUAUUACUCUAGGAAAUCAACUAGGUGUCUCCAUCCAAAAUCCUCCUUCAUAAUAUCUAUAGGAGCAGAUUAAUUUUAGUAAAUCUAAUAAAUAUUUCCAAAGGCCUCUAUAACACCAUGAUCUGUAUCCAUUAUGAACCUGCAGUGUAAACCUGAGUGGAGAUGGAUGAGGGGAAAGGAAGAAAGAGGGAUAGAGAUAUGGAAAGAACAACACUCAGCCUAUGAGAAUAUUGAUAGCUAUAGAUGGCUUUGAUACUCGAACCAAAUAUUAAGGGAUAAGUCUGAGUAAACCAAAAUUGUUUAGUUUUGAAUUUUUAAGAGACAACAAGGCCAGUGGAGGCUGAUGAUCUUUCACAUUUAAACUUCUCUAAAUUCAGUAAUCAAAUAAUUAUAUAAUUCAUUCUCCUUUUCCUAGGCAUAGCCAUACCAAAACUUUCUUUUUUUCCAUUCUUUUCUAAGCCUCCACAUUGGAGAGAUGGAGGGAAUGACAAAUCCAUGGUACUAUAGGGAAUCUAUCUACUUGUAGAAUUCAGCAAUCUCAUCUUUUUUUAUUUUAGUUUAUUAGACAGAGCAUGUGUGUAAUAUGUAAUGUUUACAUUCCUUGUGGGAAGUUGGUACAUGUACAUAGCACAUCAAUUCUUUUUUCAUUCCUUUUCCUUCUCUGCAUCCCCUCUCCACUCAUCUCUGAUUCCCUUUCCUCCUUUUUCCUUUGUACGUUUCAUAAUAAUCUUGGAAGUGGGCCAUAUGCCUAUCAACAGAUGAGUGGAUAAAGAACAUGUGUAUACAUACAAUGGAGUACUACUCUGCCAUAAAGAAAAAUCAACUUGAGUCAUUUGUAGGAAAAUGGAUGCACCUUGAGACCAUAAUGUUAAGUGAAAUAAAUCAGACACACAAACUUAAAUAUCACAUAGCUUCUUUUAUAUGAGAAACCCAAAAUUUUAAUGAAGAGCAAAAUAAAAGUUAGUAAUAGAAAGUGGGAAAGGGAAUUCUCAAAGGGGAAGGGGU